CCCGCUUUCGGCGGGGGAUUAGUUGGCGAACGGGUGAGUAACACGAUGGGCAAUCUGCCCUUCACUCUGGGACAAGCCCUGGAAACGGGGUCUAAUACCGGAUACGACCACUUCGGGCAUCCGAUGGUGGUGGAAAGCUCCGGCGGUGAAGGAUGAGCCCGCGGCCUAUCAGCUUGUUGGUGGGGUGAUGGCCUACCAAGGCGACGACGGGUAGCCGGCCUGAGAGGGCGACCGGCCACACUGGGACUGAGACACGGCCCAGACUCCUACGGGAGGCAGCAGA
rnacentral:rRNA from 1 species